GCGAGUGGCGAACGGGUGAGUAUACAUCGGAACGUGUCCUGUAGUGGGGGAUAGCCCGGCGAAAGCCGGAUUAAUACCGCAUACGAUCUGUGGAUGAAAGCGGGGGAUCUUCGGACCUCGCGCUACAGGGGCGGCCGAUGGCAGAUUAGCUAGUUGGUGGGGUAAAGGCCUACCAAGGCGACGAUCUGUAGCUGGUCUGAGAGGACGACCAGCCACACUGGGACUGAGACACGGCCCAGACUCCUACGGGAGGCAGCAGUGGGGAAUUUUGGACAAUGGGCGCAAGCCUGAUCCAGCAAUGCCGCGUGUGUGAAGAAGGCCUUCGGGUUGUAAAGCACUUUUGUCCGGAAAGAAAACCUUCGAGUUAAUACCUUGGGGGGAUGACGGUACCGGAAGAAUAAGCACCGGCUAACUACGUGCCAGCAGCCGCGGUAAUACGUAGGGUGCAAGCGUUAAUCGGAAUUACUGGGCGUAAAGCGUGCGCAGGCGGUUCGCUAAGACAGAUGUGAAAUCCCCGGGCUUAACCUGGGAACUGCAUUUGUGACUGGCGGGCUAGAGUAUGGCAG
rnacentral:rRNA from 1 species